GUAAAUAACAAAAUAUCUCUGUCGCUAAGCUCAGCUUCAAUUAAGUCUCGUUUCGCUAGGAAACUUUGUGUAUUUAAACAUGUAAAAGUUAGAAACUGACUACCAGUGAGCCAGGAGUCGGAAUGUGUUGAACAGAUACUUGGACUACUUGUAGAAUUAGAGAUUGGACCGGGAUUUUUUUCUAUAUCACCAGCUCUAUACAUGAGAUAAAACAACCAUAAACACGUGGCAAUAAUUAAGAUGGUCAGUAAAAUCACCAACG
rnacentral:lncRNA from 1 species